rnacentral:rRNA from 1 species
GGACCCGCACAAGUAGUGGAGCAUGUGGUUUAAUUCGAAGAUACGCGCAGAACCUUACCAACACUUGACAUGUUCGUCGCGACUUUAAGAGAUUAGAGUUUUCGGUUCGGCCGGACGAAACACAGGUGCUGCAUGGCUGUCGUCAGCUCGUGUCGUGAGAUGUUGGGUUAAGUCCCGCAACGAGCGCAACCCUCACUUUUAGUUGCCAUCAUUUAGUUGGGCACUCUGAAAGAACUGCCAGUGAUAAGCUGGAGGAAGGUGGGGAUGACGUCAAGUCCUCAUGGCCCUUACGUGUUGGGCUACACACGUGCUACAAUGGUAUCUACAACAGGAAGCAAAACUGCGAAGUUAAGCAAAUCCCAAAAAGAUACCUCAGUUCGGAUUGCACUCUGCAACUCGAGUGCAUGAAGCUGGAAUUACUAGUAA